UGCAGCUGUAUGGCCCUGGUGCCACUGGACAACCACAGCUACUGCUGGACCCCUACAGUUACCUCCAGACUCCUGCUUCAGACUACUGGUGGACCUGCUACAGCUGCCAGUGGUCCUAUGGAUCUGGUCCAGGAGGAGCCCUGUGGUUUGACUCUGGCCGAGGGCCUGAGACUUACCGCUGUCUCAGUCUAUACCAUCUGUAUCCGGGAUCCACGGUCUUGCCGGUGCGGCUGAACGCAGAGGCAUGUGGGGCAGCUCCACCUGGUGGCAGUGGCAACCUGGAAGUAAACUAGGUUAUGUGAAUCAACAUGAACUGAAUUUGUCCUGAAAAUUUCAGAAUCUCCAUCUAUACUCCAAUUUGUGGUUGUGCUUUUCUCACCACUGCAUGGUACCAGGGCACAUGUUUUUGGGCCGUAUUAUGAUCCAGGCUGUCCUGCCAGACCAGAGCCUGCAAAGAAACUUACUGUUGGACCCUGGGACAACAGCGCAAUAACCGGAGCUGUGCAGCUGGUAACCCGAGGAUGAAUGCAUUCCCUCUGGUCUGUCCCAGCUGCUGUGGGCCAUUGGGAGUUCCGCCAGAAGCCAAAAGGGGCCACUAGCACAAUGAACUUCCCUGGAGAGGGGAAGCACAAGAGGAGCUGAGCUCAUUCAAACCAUGCGAGGCAUGGAGAUAGUGCUGGAAGCCAGGGACAAAGCUGGACCAGGUGACAACAAACCCCUCCUCAAGAGAAGCGGCACAGAGAGCCACAGCAGAGGAAAAGAGCUUCCCGGACCAAUGCAGAAACUGAAGCACAAAGUGAGUAACUUGCCUAGGACUACACAACAGGUCAGAAGCUGAGCUGUAAUUGGAUCUCAGGAAUUCCUGAACUGAGCUUUUAUCAUAAAAUAAACUUCAAUUAAAAUGUAGUAUUUGUCCCACAGAAGGCAAUCCAAAUAGUGCUCUCUACAGCAGGGACCUAUAUAGGUGCCCAUACUUUCUUCUGUCCAAUUACAGCAUUUCAUUAACUCCCCUAAGGUAAUGAUGUUACCGAAAAAUAGAAUGGCCAUUGCCUUUUUUCUCAAGCAAUACCUUGUUUAUGACUCUGGACAUUAUAAGCUGUCUUAAUGAGAAAACAAAUUUUAAUUAAUAAACUACAGUCAUUCCUUA